ACAAAAGUCAACCAAUAUUAGUCAUCGACACACAAUAAACUCCUAUUUACAGAGAUCAACACAUGUAUAAACAGACAACGUUGACGUAAAUCAAUUACAAAAAGGAAAAAAAGCUUAACGCUGAUAUUAAGUAGACCUAAAUGGCGCAGAAGUGUCUCAGGUACUACUUGAGACGUUUUUCGGAUAUUUUUUUAAUUAUUUAGAUUCCAAAACGUAGGGUGCCAGUUCAACGAAUCAAUAUUUGAAUACCAGUCUGGUUCGUGCAUUCAAAAGAAAAUACAUGACUUAAUAGCCAAGUGGAAAAAAGCCACUAUAGGGAGACUUGCCAAGACUUAAUACCAUACUAAAUAUCAGUAUAGCAUCGUUUAGAUAGCAACGGAUGAAAAGCCAAAAAACUUUUCCUGAAAUUGAAGCCAAUGAAGUGAUAUGCAAAUAUUCAAAACGAGUGUAGAAGCAAUAUUAAAGAGGAACGACGAAGUCGUAAGAAAGUGUUUUAAUUGCACCACUCAAAUGGUGGUAGAAGAGAUUAAAAUCAUAUCAACGAAUUAAAAUUUGAUUGUGACAAGGAUUGAAGCAGACAUAUUGUUUCGUUGGCUAUUUGUAGUGUUAAUUUCAAUAGUAAGAGUAGAUCUAACACAUGUAACACAGUAAACAUAUGUAUAGCUGUAACAUCAUAAUAUAAUGCCCUGUGCUCAGCAACUAAGCAAUCAAGAAGUCUCGACUCGCUUGAAAUAAAAAGUGAAAAACGACAUAAGAAAACGUUGGCAACACUUCUGCGCUGAUGGUUUUACCGACCCCUAAUAAUAUUUGAAAACGUAACGGUGAGUAAAAAACUGUUUACUGAACAUCAUCAUUAUACGAUACAAGGCCGUGGUUUUAUUUUUUUUUUAUUAAAAAAUAUCUAUGUUGUGCCUUACUCCAAACGUCUUGUAGGUAUUUGUUUCUGUGAGAUCAAGCCGCCCACCGUGACCCUAAAUUCCUACCGGUCGACCCCGCGAUAGGGUUAUUCGUCUUAUCCGGUAUGUUGUUUCGCUCCUCGGCUGCGGGUAGUGUGUACAAUGUGUUAUUCUUUUAUACGAUGUGCCUACUAUACAACAUAAUAUUCUAUAAAGUGGCUCAACAAAAAUAUAAUACACAACGGCUGGCCCGGAGUUAACUCGCCAGACGAAUCCCGCAUGAAUGAAUUGAACGCUUUUGAAACACAAAAAUACAAAUAGGUACUUAUUUUUUUUUACACGCUCAUUUUUUACAACACCAAAAACCCUACAGGCCAUUGUACCGGUCGACGUCGAUAUAGCCCACAAAUUCCUUAAGACAUUCUUGUACAGACAUUCCGAUUGAACACGAACGUCUGACAAAAAUAAAAAGCAUAUUAACGUUAAAACCAAAAAUUUUUAAAACAAACAUAAGUGAUUAUUAUUUCUAAAACAAUUGAUCAAACAGCCCAAGUAAUUUAAUACUGUAAAUUGGACAAUUAUCGCGAGCAUGGAGUGCUAUACUUAUUACAAAAAAAAUAUAUUAAGUACUUGAGUAUUUUUUUGUAAUUUUUAUUAGAUAAAGCGAACAUCAGACUUUUCUAUCAAUUGUAUCAUAUUGUUUAUCAUUUUUAUAGAAAUCAUUUUUGGCGUUGAAUUGGUCUCGUUUUUGAACUAUAACAGCAUAAUAGUAUACCUGUAUAAUUUAAUAGGGAAACCAAAUACUUUUAAAUAAAAAAGUUGCAUUCAUGUUAGUUUUUGAAUUUUCUAAAUAGCCGUUAUAACUUUUAACAACUUUUGUACUGUUAUUCGAAUUGGUAGAUAUUUCAAUCGAUUCACAAUUUAUUAUAAUUACUGUCAAUAUAGUGUUAUAUGAUGACCACGUCAUCAAUAUAGGUUACGUGUUUUUUUAAAUAAAUGCGGGCAGUGCUUCCGGAGACUUGAGACUGAUGACCAAACGAUUAAAUUAACAAUAACGCUGAAUUGCAAAUUGUAAAACUAUAUAAAGACAAUCAGAUUUAAUGAUAUUUUGUCAGUCGACUUUACCAGAGCUAUAUGUCAUCAGUCAAGAGUACUCGGCUGUCGCUGUCCGUCUACAAGGUUUCGUUACAAGUUCGAGAGUUCGUUCAUUAACACCUAGUAGUCUAUCCUCUUUCCUUGUGCACUUGUCUUGCGAUUCGUUCGCACAGUGCACAUUCCUUUCUUAAAGUACCCGUGUCUUGCGAUUCGUUCGCACCUUAUACUUUCCUCUCCACACACACGUGUCUUGCGAUUCGUUCGCACCGUGUGUGCUUACAUUUCCUUAGGUACUCGUGUCUUGCGAUUCGUUCGCACCUUGUACCUAUCCUUUCUCAUUCUCUAAUUCUUUUUAAUCCAGUAUAAACAACGGCUCUUCGACAUCCGCAAAGAACCCGGACAGCAAUCCGUUUCGCUCUUGUACCAGUGUUCACCAGUAUACAUCAAGAGUCUAGAGUGUACACCAUCACCUUUCUUUUUGUCUUACGACAAUAGGUAAUAAAGAAACAGCACUUGUUUUCAUUGUACAGCUGUUAAUUGCACCAUCUCCGUCGUUGGUUGAUACAAGUAAAAUAUACUUACAUGUGUGUAUUAUAUGUGUUUUUUACUUAUACUUGUAUUCGUCGUCAAGUUUUAUCCAAAUAUUUAUAUACACCGGAAACACCAAAUUAUUAAUCACUGUGUAUCGUUCACCGAUGAGAUAAUGUAAAAUAUUGCUCAGCCUUCCGCCAAUGACGCCAUAAUGGACAUAGUUUAUUAGUAAUAGUGUUACAGUAAUUAUUAUUAUACUUAACAACAUCGAAAAGCCCUUGAAUCGACUGUCGUCUACGCGAACUGACCGCCUCGUUAUAAUAAUUACAGUUCGGUUUAGGUUUAAAAUCUAUUAAGUACAUAAUCACAAUAAUAUUGUUUGUCUUAAUCACAGUUGUCUAAUUGAAGUUUAUUAGUUUAAUAUAUUAUGCAUGUAAAGUGUUACACAACAUACGAGGCUCCGGUUAUAGAGAUGACGUUUUAUCUGUGUAUCCACUUUCUUAUGAAUGUUUCAGUUAUUUUUAACUCAGAGCCGCGUCUUUGGGUGAUCUUUGAACGGCCUACACUGGUUUACUCUUCGAAUCACUUUGUAUUUUUGUCUUUUUGAAAACGUUUUUGUUUAUGUUAUACAGAGUGAUGCAUUAAGGAUUAAGGUGACUCAUUAUCUCCAAGAAUAAUUUUCUAGUGUUUGAAA